UACAGAGGUCUCAAGCGUUGUUCGGAUUCAUUGGGCGUAAAGGGUGCGUAGGUGGCGCUGUAAGUCGGGUGUGAAAUUUCGGAGCUUAACUCCGAAACUGCAUUCGAUACUGCGGUGCUUGAGGACUGGAGAGGAGACUGGAAUUCAUGGUGUAGAGGUGAAAUUCGUAGAUAUCGGGAGGAACACCUGUGGCGAAGGCGGCCACCUGGACAACAACGUGACGCUGAGACGCGAAAGCGUGG
rnacentral:rRNA from 1 species